rnacentral:rRNA from 1 species
GGCUAAAACAGUCAGGAUGUUGGCUUAGAAGCAGCCAUCAUUUAAAGAAAGCGUAAUAGCUCACUGAUCGAGUCGUCCUGCGCGGAAGAUGUAACGGGGCUAAGCCAGUCACCGAAGCUGCGGAUAUGCGUAAGCAUAUGGUAGGAGAGCGUUCUGUAAGCCUGCGAAGGUGUCUUGUAAAGGAUGCUGGAGGUAUCAGAAGUGCGAAUGCUGACAUGAGUAGCGAUAAUGGGGGUGAAAAGCCUCCACGCCGUAAGCCCAAGGUUUCCUGUUCAACGUUCAUCGGAGCAGGGUGAGUCGGCCCCUAAGGCGAGGCAGAGAUGCGUAGCUGAUGGGAAGCAGGUUAAUAUUCCUGCACCGUCGUAUGAUGCGAUGGGGGGACGGAUCGCGGAAGGUUGUCUGACUGUUGGAAUAGUCAGUUUCUGUCUCAUAGAAGGUACUUAGGCAAAUCCGGGUACGGAAUUCAAGGGGAUGGGACGAGUGAACUUGUUCACGAAGCAAUCGGAAGUGGUUCCAAGAAAAGCCUCUAAGCUUCAGUCAUACGAGACCGUACCGCAAACCGACACAGGUGGGCGAGAUGAGUAUUCUAAGGCGCUUGAGAGAACUCGGGAGAAGGA